AGCAGCACCGGCGUUGUUAGCUCCAUUUCCUGCACUUUUUUUACCGCAUGCAUUUCAGGGGAAGAAAAUAAAAGAGGCUAACAAAUUGCCAUUCUGUGCAAGCUGCAAAAUAAUUUCUGAGUAAACACCAGCCACAACAGACUGACUUUGACAAAAAAUUGGGAGAGCAAACCAUGGAUUUCAAUACGUGUUGUAGUUUGUGAGGCCUGACAAGUGGAGAUCAGAGACACGUGAUGCUGCCUUACUUGGCAAGGUUUUCCAGCAACUUCUGUUUUGAUGGCAGCUUUCCAGCAGUAUUUUACUUUGACAGUUUUGGAGUGAUGCAUAUAUACAUGUACAAUUGAUCAACCCAUUUAAUGAACACAUGACCUUGAAUAGAAUUGAGCUUUCUAAUCCUUCGCUGACCUCCGGAGGACCGGUGUGGCAUAAAUCAGGUGCAAUAAACUCAUUGUUUUGCUGUAUGAAGGAUUCUAGUGACAGCUUAAAAAUAUUAAAGUUCAAAAUGCAGUAAAACAUUUGUGGCAAGUACUAAAUUGUAAAG